rnacentral:misc_RNA from 1 species
UUGAGGUCACAUUAAUGAUGAGUUGUCCAAGGACGGUUGGAAAGCUGAACUGCCCCUUACAUUCAAUAGCGUAGAUAGUUAUCACACCAAUGAACAGGUUGUUCUGCUAAUGCAUUUCAGGAGAGCUGAACCCCGUUUAUGAGGCCAGCAAACUCCCACAUCCAAACCAUUCCACAAGAGAAUGGUUGAUAUAUAUAUAU